UUAUACUUUAAGAAUUAAUCUAAACCAUAAAUUUCAAAAAUUUAUAUGCAUAUACACUUAAGUAUA
rnacentral:tRNA from 1 species